GACGAACGCUGGCGGCGUGCCUAAUACAUGCAAGUAGAACGCACAGUUUAUACCGUAGCUUGCUACACCAUAGACUGUGAGUUGCGAACGGGUGAGUAACGCGUAGGUAACCUGCCUGGUAGCGGGGGAUAACUAUUGGAAACGAUAGCUGAUACCGCAUAAUAUUGAUUAUUGCAUGAUAAUUGAUUGAAAGAUGCUAUUGCAUCACUACCAGAUGGACCUGCGUUGUAUUAGCUAGUAGGUGAGGUAACGGCUCACCUAGGCGACGAUACAUAGCCGACCUGAGAGGGUGAUCGGCCCCACUGGGACUGAGACACGGCCCAGACUCCUACGGGAGGCAGCAGUAGGGAAUCUUCGGCAAUGGACGAAAGUCUGACCGAGCAACGCCGCGUGAGUGAAGAAGGUUUUCGGAUCGUAAAGCUCUGUUGUAAGAGAAGAACGGGUGUGAGAGUGGAAAGUUCACACUGUGACGGUAUCUUACCAGAAAGGGACGGCUAACUACGUG
rnacentral:rRNA from 1 species